CCUCCUCAUUCGCCGAUGAAGAUGAAAAGUCAAACGGUAGAUCUGAUAUCCCGAAGAUGCAGAUUAUUGUUUGCAGCUCAGUCUUAUUUAUAGGAAUGAUGAUGAAUUGAUGAUCCUCUGCAUUUCCUUGAUCCUGUAUAGAAGAAAGAAAAACCAGAAAAACUAUAAACUAGAUCUACCAUAUUUUGAUAUGGCUACACUUAUUUCUGCAACCAACAACUUCUUGACCAAUAACAUAUUGGGAAAAGGCAGUUUUGGAGUUG